rnacentral:rRNA from 1 species
CCUACGGGCGGCUGCAGUGGGGAAUAUUGCACAAUGGGCGCAAGCCUGAUGCAGCCAUGCCGCGUGUGUGAAGAAGGCCUUCGGGUUGUAAAGCACUUUCAGCGGGGAGGAAGGCGUUAAGGUUAAUAACCUUGGCGAUUGACGUUACCCGCAGAAGAAGCACCGGCUAACUCCGUGCCAGCAGCCGCGGUAAUACGGAGGGUGCAAGCGUUAAUCGGAAUUACUGGGCGUAAAGCGCACGCAGGCGGUCUGUCAAGUCGGAUGUGAAAUCCCCGGGUUCAACCUGGGAACUGCAUUCGAAACUGGCAGGCUAGAGUCUUGUAGAGGGGGGUAGAAUUCCAGGUGUAGCGGUGAAAUGCGUAGAGAUCUGGAGGAAUACCGGUGGCGAAGGCGGCCCCCUGGACAAAGACUGACGCUCAGGUGCGAAAGCGUGGGGAGCAAACAGGAUUAGAUACCCUUGUAGUC